GUGAGUAAUGCCUAGGAAUCUGCCUGGUAGUGGGGGAUAACGUUCGGAAACGGACGCUAAUACCGCAUACGUCCUACGGGAGAAAGCAGGGGACCUUCGGGCCUUGCGCUAUCAGAUGAGCCUAGGUCGGAUUAGCUAGUUGGUGAGGUAAUGGCUCACCAAGGCUACGAUCCGUAACUGGUCUGAGAGGAUGAUCAGUCACACUGGAACUGAGACACGGUCCAGACUCCUACGGGAGGCAGCAGUGGGGAAUAU
rnacentral:rRNA from 1 species